CUUAGUAAAUAACCAACCACGUGGAUUCGGGAGCAAUCGCCUCAUCCGUACUCGCGAAAUACUUGCGUAGGAUGUUUCCAAAGUAACCCAAGUAACCUAAUCUAUCUUGAAAGUGGUAUCUUAGUCAAAUUGAGUUCCUUGUGCAUAUGAGCACUAAAUCUGAAAAUGACGUAUGUUGCGAUGAUCGAGGGUUGGUUAUAAUUUU
rnacentral:telomerase_RNA from 1 species